rnacentral:tRNA from 1 species
GCGAUGGUGGUUCAGAGUUAUAAUUCUCUCCUUCCACGUGGGAGACUCAGGUUCGAUUUCUGGCCAGUGUA